rnacentral:rRNA from 1 species
UGGGGAAUUUUGGACAAUGGGGGCAACCCUGAUCCAGCCAUCCCGCGUGUGCGAUGAAGGCCUUCGGGUUGUAAAGCACUUUUGGCAGGGAAGAAACAGCCUGGGAUAAUACCCCGGGCGACUGACGGUACCUGCAGAAUAAGCACCGGCUAACUACGUGCCAGCAGCCGCGGUAAUACGUAGGGUGCAAGCGUUAAUCGGAAUUACUGGGCGUAAAGCGUGCGCAGGCGGUUCGGAAAGAAAGGUGUGAAAUCCCAGGGCUUAACCUUGGAACUGCACUUUUAACUACCGAGCUAGAGUACGUCAGAGGGGGGUAGAAUUCCACGUGUAGCAGUGAAAUGCGUAGAGAUGUGGAGGAAUACCGAUGGCGAAGGCAGCCCCCUGGGAUGAUACUGACGCUCAUGCACGAAAGCGUGGGGAGCAAACAGGAUUAGAUACCCUGGUAGUCCACGCCCUAAACGAUGUCAACUAGCUGUUGGGGUUUAUUAACCUUAGUAGCGCAGCUAACGCGUGAAGUUGACCGCCUGGGGAGUACGGUCGCAAGAUUAAAACUUAAAGUGAAUUGACGGGGGUCAUAGCUGUUUCC